rnacentral:rRNA from 1 species
GAGUUUGAUCUUGGCUCAGAUUGAACGUUGGCGGCAGGCCUAACACAUGCAAGUCGAGCGGAUGACGGGAGCUUGCUCCUUGAUUCAGCGGCGGACGGGUGAGUAAUGCCUAGGAAUCUGCCUGGUAGUGGGGGACAACGUUUCGAAAGGAACGCUAAUACCGCAUACGUCCUACGGGAGAAAGCAGGGGACCUUCGGGCCUUGCGCUAUCAGAUGAGCCUAGGUCGGAUUAGCUAGUUGGUGGGGUAAUGGACUCACCAAAGGCGACGAUCCGUAACUGGUCUGAGAGGAUGAUCAGUCACACUGGAACUGAGACACGGUCCAGACUCCUACGGGAGGCAGCAGUGGGGAAUA